GCAAACUUGGUCAUUUAGAGGAAGUAAAAGUCGUAACAAGGUCUCCGUUGGUGAACCAGCGGAGGGAUCAUUACCGAGUUAUUACUCCAAACCCAUUGUGAACCUUACCAUUUGUUCUGUUGCCUCGGCGGGGUAAAACCCGCCGGCAGCACUAAACUCUUGAAUUUUAUAGUGGAUUAUACUUCUGAAUGAAAACACAAAACAAAUCAAAACUUUCAACAACGGAUCUCUUGGUUCUGGCAUCGAUGAAGAACGCAGC
rnacentral:misc_RNA from 1 species